AGUGCGUCAUUGAAUUAGAGUGUUUGCCAGUCGCUUGUAAGCAGUAAAUGUAAGAAUAUGUACCAAGAAUUUGAAUUUCAAAAUAUGUCUUUUCUAUGAAUACGUUCCAAAAUACAGUUUUGCAUUUUAAUAUAUUUUUGAUGGAGAAUAAUUCCUGUCAUUUAUCGAAAUCAGAAAAAAUAUUAUUAUGGAUAUUUCGACGACUAACUAAGAGACCAAUAAGAGUCUAAUCUCCAGUACGUUUUUCUUGUUAUUGCGAAAUUUCAUCAUCGCAUCGCGGACUACAAAUCAGUCGCGAAUGCCAUAAAGAAAAUACUGUAGACUCCAUCUGAAUUCUGAUGAUCUUGGAGUUGAGACUUGAUUGGAAAUUUGGAUCCCGCUGCUGAUAAAUGUGGCAAAGGACUCAUUUAUCAAGUUUUAAUUUGAUCAUUCUCUUUCUAAAUAAGGACGACGUCUGGCCUCCAAUGGCCCCGAGAUUUUCCGAGCCACGCCCCUACACCCGGCAACCAAUCACAGACUUUGAUAUGCGUGACGCCCACAGGCAGUCGCAGCAACAAGAACAGUCUAAUAAUAACUGUGACAGUAGUAAUUUUGAUAAUCAGCAAUAACCAGGAGAGAGCCUGCAGGAGGAAAUUUGUGAAAUUUAAUCUUUACCUCAGAAGAAGGGUCUAUUUAUUUGUAUCUUGUACGUUCAUGUGUGAUCGACCUUUAGAUGUUUUUUAGUUGGAGUGCUGUCUUGCCUAUGCACAAAUAAUUACUCUCUCUGGAAGAGAAUGCUUUAGUCUGGAAAUUCAGCCCUUAUUUGAUCAACCAAUCAAAUCCCUCCUAAUUCUGCCAUUAAUUGGCCACCUACCAUGCUGCCAAUUUCCUGAUUGGUCAAUAUAUUUCAUCUUGCAUGCGACCCCAUCCACUCAUCCAAUUAAAUUGCCCAUCAUCAACACACCCUAAGCCAAGCUUAUCUUGAGAUUCAUCCAACAAGGCUUGUGAUUGGUCAAUUUCCCCAUUCCCUGAGCCAAUCCACCAAUCAUGGUUGGCCUACCACCGACUGAUAUUGUACCAUCCGUGGCUGUGAAGCUGGCCAGUGCUGGGCUGGGAGGGUGCAUAGCUGAUGUAAUAACCUUCCCACUGGACACAGCUAAAGUGCGCCUCCAGAUUCAAGGCGAGAGCGGAACCGACAAGAAAUCAUCGAAAGGCACCAUCGGCAAAGAAGCACGCGUCAACUUCAGAUACCGUGGGGUCUUCGGAACCAUAUGGACCAUCAUCCGCCAAGAGGGACCCCGUGGACUCUACAACGGUCUAAUCCCGGGACUCCAGCGCCAGAUGUGUUUCGCCUCGGUCCGCAUUGGUCUCUACGAUUCCGUCAAGGCUUUUUAUGCAGGUGCUCAAAAAGUUGAUUAUGGUGGUGUAAACAUCAUUACAAGAAUAAGCGCAGGCAUAACAACAGGAGCAUGCGCCGUACUCAGCGCCCAACCUACGGACGUUGUCAAGAUUCGCCUACAAGCCCAGGGCAAUGCGGUCCUAAAUGGCGCCCCCAAGAGGUAUACCGGUGCUAUCAACGCCUAUCAGACCAUCGCCAAGGAGGAGGGUGUCAGAGGUCUAUGGAAAGGAACAAUGCCCAACAUUGUCCGAAACUCCGUCGUCAACGCCAGCGAAGUCGUGGCCUACGACCUCAUCAAGGAGGCCAUCCUGAAACGCAGGCUACUCAAAGACGAGUUCCCCUGUCAUUUUAUCGCGGCUUUCGGCGCGGGGUUUGUCACCACGUGCGUCGCCACCCCGGUGGAUGUCGUGAAAACGAGAUUCAUGAACUCCAGCCCGGGUCAUUACCGCGGAGCCAUGGACUGUGCCUCGCAGAUGUUCAAGAAAGAGGGUCUUACUGCUUUUUACAAAGGAUUCACGCCACAGUUUUUGCGACUGGGCUCCUGGAACAUUGUGAUGUUUGUAUGCUACGAGCAGCUUAAACGUGCCAUGAUCAUGUCCACGCAACACAGCUAAUACCAUCCCAUCGCUUCGGUGAUGUUGCUGCUGCUUUAAUUUGACCGUAAACCUUCCAUGGAACAUUGCGCUGUGUAUAUAAGAUGCUAUUGACCGGUGAUCUCUCUCUAAUUGGACUGAUGGUUCUUUGUUCGUGAAGAAUUAUAGGUAUCAACUGGAGAAACGUUCUAGCCUUUCAUAGCCUUUGCUCUUACCAAAAAUCUUGAUUGUCUCUGAUUGCCCUGUAUUGAGUACCGAAUGCAGUCAAACCAAUGUACAUGUAUAAUAGACGCUCUGACUGGGGGGUCAUUCUCUAUUUAAAUGAAAUGACGAAAGAAAGAAAUAUAGAUGUCAACUGGAGAAAGGCUUUCACCUUCCAUCUAUUGUUGCUCUUACCAAAAAUCCUGAAAAUUUAUGAUUGCUCCAUAUUGAGUACCAAACUCUACCAAAUCGGUGUAUAAAAGAUGCUAUUGACCGGUAGUCUUUUCGGAUUGACCGAUGGUUUUUGGAGGCGAAAGAAAUAAAGUGUCAACUGGAAAUUGUAUGGAGAGGUGACUACUGCAUGAAGUGACCUCGUAAUAGACUAGCAGCUGAGUCAGCUGACCGGUAUUGACCAAUAGCCUCGAUGCAGAGGCUGUCUCUGUGAACAGGCUGUGAUGCUCCUGCUUCAUGUCAUCUGGCAGAAAUCUUGGUCUAGCAUUACCUUACUGGGACCAUGUACCUCAAGUAGGUCCACGCUUGGACCGUGUCUCGGCUGCAGAUGUACUGUAUGGACUGUUCUAUUACCAGUAUUAGGGAUGGUCAGCCUUGCUUUAUGAGGAACACACUGGACAAUUAUUGAAUCAUAAUCCUCUAUGAUUAUUUGCUUAAGUUCUUUCCUAUUAAUACAUAGCGUAUCUUCUUUAUCCUUACUCUAGACAUGUAUGAUGUGAUUGGCAUUAUUUUAUUUGAGAAUUAAGGUACCAUUUAUACUUAAAAAAGUGUAUUUGCUUUGAAGAUGUGCAGUUACAUGUAGGCAGUAUCACUUGCAAGAAAAAAAUAUUUACUCUAAUCAUUAAACUGCGGCAGUACAUAUACAGCACCUGUUCAGUAGCUAUCUAAUCCUACCAAUGCAUGGUAAUGAUUAGCAAACAGUCCCUAAGCUUUUUGUUUAUUUUUGACAAUGGAAUUUCAUGGGUCAGGCCAGGGUAAGAAUAUUAAUCUGUGAACUUGCAGUGUCAUUGGAACCAUAGGAUGGGAAAGUUAUUCUUGAGCUAAAAGUUCAUUGAUGUUUUUCUUCUUAGACCUUGGGCUAAUCUUUGGAAGAGUUGCGUUUGAAUGCAGGUCAAACAAUCAGUCGCAAAUGCCAAAUCCAUGAUUUUGAUUGGUUGGAAACCAAGUAGAUUGUUAGAGUUGCACUCAAACUCUUCUCAGAAAAAGCAAAUGCUAGUCACAAGUGCGCACUGCUCAUCGGUUGAAAACAAAAUUGUGUUCGAUUCUUGGAGAUCUAUGCGUUCGAUUGCAACUCAAUCUGCAACAGGCCCUCGCCCCAGGGGCCCAGUUUCAUAAAGAGAAGCAGUUGAUAUUUACAAUCAAUUUUAACCUUUUAUACAUGAUUUGCCAUAGGCUUAUAAUUGUGCUUUAUUGUGGAAUUGAUUGGACAUUUAAUGAUAAUACCAGGGCUUGCUUUGCCAUACCGUGGUAAAAUGAAGUGAGUAAGCAACAAGAAUGGGAAUGGUUUAUUUGUCUUCUAAAAGAGCAAACUUAAUCUGUCAUUUGUGCGUUGUUGUUGCAAUACAGUACCAUCAUGCUUUGCCUAACACAGCAGGGUGAGAGUUGAUGAAUAAGAUUGGACCUAGGAGAAGAACUUGCUAGGUAAUUGUGAAUAUUGUUCCACAAUUCCCUUCGUCUGACUGGCAAAUUUUCUUUGUCAGAGUGGCUGUUUGGAAAGUAAUUUUUCUCCAGGAAGCUUGAACUUCGGGGAGCUCUCUUCUAGGACUGAUACAAUCAACUGUGGCAAUGUGUUCAUGUUUGAAUCGUAUGUACUUGAAGUUGAAAUCACUCAGUCAUGCGUUAAUUAUACAAAUAUUGACUGCUCAUGAGGGUAAUAGUAAAAACUAUUGCCCCAAAUUCAUCCCUCGACUAUAGGCCUGCUAUUUUUCCCUGAAGGAAAAUAGUAAGCCUAGAGUUGCAAGGUCAUUGAGGGUAAUGGUUUUUACUAUUGACUGAAUAAAAGUGCAGUUAGUAUAUUUUAUAUACCAAUUAUUUUUUGAGCCGGGCAAUAGUAAAAACUAUUGACCUGCUCAAAGGAUGCCAAUUCUGUAGAAUGGAUUCAUAUUAAAGAAUGUUGGUAUAAAUAACCAUUUUUAAUGCACAAAUCAGGAUAUGAAUUAUCUUUCCCUCCUUCCAGGGAGAAGUGUAUUGAACAGGGUAUUUUUUCUUAAUUGUGUGAUUGUAUAAAUUGUAAAAUAGGAUGUUUAACAUGUAUGAAAUGUAAAAGGGAAUAUGGGAUUGUCCUUUAAUUGAGUGAAUACACUAUGUUAGUGACUAUGGCCCGUAUUCUGAAGUCGGGUUUAACUUAAACUCAGGUUUAAAGUUGUGGUUUAAAAUACGGGCCUAUGUGUUGUAUUUAUCACUGUAAGGAGCUUUCGUCUUGUACAACGUCUGCUUCUAUGACGAUGAAAUUCCCGAUUGAACCAUCUACGCAUGUGGAGUGUUUCGGGGGCGAAUCGGUGUUAUGCUGAAAGUAAUGACAAGACCAUAUAAUUUUAGCCACAUGAUAAUGUGUCAAUGAAAAGUGUAAACUCUGUAAUACUGAAGGCAUAGACAUAAUUGUCAACAGUCAAAGAAGCAUUCGUCGUGCAAAGGAAAGACGCAGUACCCGGUACAUCUUGUGUAGCAUGAUAGCUACAUGUACAUGUAAACAAUAAUGCCCCAAUUAAAGCAAAGUGAGACAAAUGACAAAGAAGAAAAUUUAUUACCCAUUUUAUACAUGUUACAUACUAGCUACAGUAUCUGCAAAAAAAAAUAAUUUAAAAAAAUGUUGCUGAAAUUUUUCUUAUAUAAUUGUUAUAUAAUGGCAAAAUUAUGUGAAUUUGGGUAAGUGUAUUUAAAAUUACUUUGCUUCCUGCUUGAAACUCUUUAUUUUGAAACUAUUUCGUGGAUAGGAAUGUACUGCAAUAUUACUGUGAUAUUGCAUCAAGCAAACUCAUAAUUAAACUUCUAAGAGUGUCUGUUUAAAGUGUUGCCCUGAUGGAGGGCUUACACUGUAUAUUUUAUGAUGAUUAUAAUGAUAACAACAAUAAUAGAAGUUAUCAAUAACUCUAAUUUAUGCUGAUAAGUUACUUGCUUUGAUUCCCAAAAGCAGGCUUUGAUUUCAAAGGAGUAAAGAAAAUGGAUCUCGUACGUUGACUUUAUUUAAAUGAAUGAAUAGCUGGACUAUUUCCAUACUGCAGACCAUUUGAAUAUCAUUAUUUUUUUAAACAUGUUUUGCAGUUGAAAAAAUAAUCAACAUUGCCAUCUCAAUGUAGAAUACAACAGAAUAUGUGGGGAUUUUAGUCAUAGACUUCAUGUAUUUAUUUGAUAAUCAUGAUCUAUAAUUCUCUUCGGGAUUUAAAUGUUUAUCGCAAAAAGUAUCCACAAUUCAUUGAUUUUAAAGUUCAUAUUAAAUUGAUUUUUGAAAAUUUUAUUAAAGAUAUUUAUAUUAGAAAUAAUAAUAUAUGAUAAUACUGGUGGUGAUGAUGAUGAUGGCAAGAUUGAAAAUGGUAGUGACAAUUCUUAAAGUUGAAAUGAUAAAAAUAUUGAUGCUCUUAAAAUAUUCUUUUGAUAAUAUAUAGAAUGAUUUAGUGUAUGAGAAUUAUUAUAUAACUCUCUAUGCACUUAUAUACAUGUACAUGUACAUGUAUGUCAUUUUUAGCCUGAUGCGUUUUCUCUUUGGUCAUAUUCAAUGUAUUUCUGCAUGUAUUAAAGGUAAACACCAAUACUUAUGAAUUAUAUAAUUGUUGCAUUGUCGUAUAAACCAUAUAGUUCAUGCUUUCAUUAUAAAUUCUCAGUAAAACCGAGAGUUGUAUAUGUAGUGCAAUCGAGGAAGAAAAGUAGUAUGGUAGUGAAAUGGAUUUGAAUGAAAUAUUGUUUGCGUGUAUUUUGCUUGUGUAGAAAAUAUUGAAUGAUUUCAUGUUUUAUAGCUGGAUUAUUUAUGAAUUAUUCAGCAGUUUAGAUGUUGGAGUAUUUGGUAAAUUUUAUAGAAUUGUGUAAUAAUAAUAGUUUGCACAAUAUUUUAUUCAUGUAUGGAAAGAUUGUGUACUUUGUAUGUUAUGUUGUAAGAGGUCAUGUAUUUGUGUAGUAGAAAUGUAGAAUACUUUAUACUUCCUAAAAAAUUAUUAACAUCUCUGUAUAUAUUACUUUAUCAUAUUUUAACAGGUCUUUACAUUGAAAGCUGUUCUUGCUUUAUAAUCUCACAUGAUAAUGUUGUAAAUAAGAUCAUAUUUUGUGCAUUAUAUGCAUUCUAAUGAUUAAUGAAAUAUAAAAAAAGAAGCGUUUAA